UACGAAGGGGGCUAGCGUUGCUCGGAUUGCCUGGGCGUAAAGGGCGCGUAGGCGGUUUGCACAGUCAGACGUGAAAUUCCUGGGCUCAACCUGGGGGCUGCGUUUGAUACGUGCAGGCUUGAGUUCGGAAGAGGGUCGUGGAAUUCCCAGUGUAGAGGUGAAAUUCGUAGAUAUUGGGAAGAACACCGGUGGCGAAGGCGGCGACCUGGUCCGAUACUGACGCUGAGGCGCGAAAGCGUGGGGAGCAAACAGG
rnacentral:rRNA from 1 species